rnacentral:rRNA from 1 species
UCGGGAAUUUUGGGCAAUGGGCGAAAGCCUGACCCAGCAACGCCGCGUGAAGGAUGAAGUAUUUCGGUAUGUAAACUUCGAAAGAAUAGGAAGAAUAAAUGACGGUACUAUUUAUAAGGUCCGGCUAACUACGUGCCAGCAGCCGCGGUAAUACGUAGGGACCAAGCGUUGUUCGGAUUUACUGGGCGUAAAGGGCGCGUAGGCGGCUUGACAAGUCACUUGUGAAAUCUCUGGGCUUAACCCAGAACGGCCAAGUGAAACUGUCAUGCUAGAGUGCAGAAGGGGCAAUCGGAAUUCUUGGUGUAGCGGUGAAAUGCGUAGAUAUCAAGAGGAACACCUGAGGUGAAGACGGGUUGCUGGGCUGACACUGACGCUGAGGCGCGAAAGCCAGGGGAGCAAACGGGAUUAGAUACCCAAGUAGUCCCUGAGCGGGCUGGCAAGGCGCAU